UCAAACUUGGUCAUUUAGAGGAAGUAAAAGUCGUAACAAGGUUUCCGUAGGUGAACCUGCGGAAGGAUCAUUAACAGUGCCCUGGCCUGAGCCGGUGGACUACUCCUCUGCUAACCCAUUGCCGCAAGGCGUGGGAGUAGUAAUGAGUCAACCAAUUGUGAAACUUCUACCUAUGCUUCGGCAGCGCUCUCAGCAAAAGCUGGAGGGGUAAGGCUGCCAGAAGCCCAUAUUAUAACCAGUUGAUGAAAUGUCAUGCUGUCUGAUAAACCAUUAUUUGAGAAAUCAAAUUUUUAUUAAAACUUUCAGCAACGGAUCUCUUGGUUCUCGCAUCGAUGAAGAACGCAGC
rnacentral:misc_RNA from 1 species